rnacentral:rRNA from 1 species
AACACAAACAACUCUCGGCAACGGAUAUCUCGGCUCUCGCAUCGAUGAAGAACGUAGCGAAAUGCGAUACUUGGUGUGAAUUGCAGAAUCCCGUGAACCAUCGAUUCUUUGAACGCAAGUUGCGCCAGAAGCCAUUUGGCCGAGGGCAAUUCUGCCUGGGCGUCACGCAUC